rnacentral:rRNA from 1 species
GACGAACGCUGGCGGCGUGCUUAACACAUGCAAGUCGAACGGAAAGGCCUGCUUUCCCUUGUGGAUUGCGGGUACUCGAGUGGCGAACGGGUGAGUAACACGUGAGUGAUCUGCCCCCAACUUGGGUAUAAGCCUGGGAAACUGGGUCUAAUUCCCGAUAGGACUGCAGGGUGGUGCCUGUGGUGGAAAACGAUUUUCUAGUGGUUGGGGAUGAGCUCGCGGCCUAUCAGCUUGUUGGUGGGGUAAUGGCCUACCAAGGCGGCGACGGGUAGCCGGCCUGAGGGGGUGGACGGCCACAUUGGGACUGCGAUACGGCCCAGACUCCUACGGGAGGCAGCAGUGGGGAAUAUUGCACAAUGGGCGGAAGCCUGAUGCAGCGACGCCGCGUGGGGGAUGACGGCCUUCGGGUUGUAAACUCCUUUCGACCGCGAGGAAGCCACCUGGUUGGAAGGGUGGUGACGGUAGUGGUAGAAGAAGCACCGGCUAACUACGUG